rnacentral:misc_RNA from 1 species
GAUGAAGAACGUAGCGAAAUGCGAUAAGUAAUGUGAAUUGCAGAAUUCAGUGAAUCAUCGAAUCUUUGAACGCACCUUGCACCCUUUGGCAUUCCGAAGGGUAUGCUCGUUUGAGUGUCAUUGCACUCUCACACUCUCCGAUCCUAUGGAUUCGGGGAGCGGUGGACUUGGGUGUUGCUGCCUUUCCUUGUGGCUCACCUCAAAUGUGUCAGUGCACCUCUUGGUUGGACAUAGUACGGCGUGAUAAGUGUCUUCGCCGGCACCUCGCAAGAGGGUGGCCGAUCGGGAGCUCUGUGCUUUCAAACCGUCUUCGGACAAUUUCUGACAACUUGACCUCAAAUCGAGUAGGACUACCCGCUGAACUUAAGCAUAUCAAUAAGCGGAGGA